UUACAAGAUAUUAACUCCACUGCAGAGUCCUCUUCUCUUGGGCGGGAUAUCUAUAUGCAUGCUCUUCAAUUGGUCUCAUUCCUUUUGAUGCAGCAAAGUUGGUGAUGACGGUGAUGUGGGGUUCCAACAACUACAAGAGGACCUAAGGGCCAUAUCCACACAGCAACUCCUUACACAAGCAACAAUGGGAUAAAGCAGUCUCCGUGUAAGAGACCUCCAAUGCCUGCUCUAUAGUGAUAGGGUAAUGGUGGCCAUAAUAUGAAAAAUUGUCAGAAUGUUCAGUUUGUGUUACUGUUUCUAGGACAUGUUGAAUCAACUGUAUGAUCUUUUGUAAGGAUCUCUUUCUCCGCACUAGCAUGUCAAUCAGCUGUGCAAGGAGGCUCCAGCCCACAAGUGUUUUUUUUGUGACAAAUUCUGGUAAUAAACUGAUAGUUGGUGAUCUUA